UCUGGGAACCAAGAGUCCAUCCAGGAACUUUUUCUCUGUCCCUUUGAAAUAUCCUUCAUUGAUCUCUCCCUGAUACCAUGACCUGAACAAUUUUACAUAAAUUUUGCUUCCCCACAGCUAAUAUGUGGAAUAUAAGAUUGGGACAAUGAUGGUGGGAAACAAUGUUUUAAGAGAGAUAAAAAGAUAAAACACAAUUCUGACACAGCAGAAGGGAUGUGAGUGCUUUGCAUCUUCCUCUGCCAGGAAGUUCAAAAUGAAUCAUGCAAAGUGAUCAGUAUUAUUUGUGGUGACUGAAAAAAAUAUUCAAAUGGUCAUCUCUAAUGUCUUCAUAUCCAUCAAAAUUUACUCAAAUGUAAAAAAGAUGAAGAUAACUUAUAUUGUCCUCUGCCAUGAAUUUCGUCAUUGCCAAAAACCUUCCUGGACAACUGUACUGGGCUCCAUUUCUUUCACUGGUUUGUUGGAGUACAAUGGUUUAAAGAGCUAACCACUUUCUAUUUGGCUGAUUAUAUAUUAGUUUCCAGUCCAAAUACAAAAUAUGUGUUGAAUUAUAGACAAAUAUCCUUAAUCCGAGUAGAAUUUACAUAUUUACUACUAACUUUCCUUUUUUCAUUUACUUCUCCAUAUUGCUCCAUAGCCAUGAAGAGGACUUUUAAAAUCAAUACCUAAUUUCUUCCUCUUCACGUAAGAUAUAAACUAAAAAUAUCGAAAUUUCCUUAUAGGAGGUGGAUAGCUCAGCUACCCGGAUUAUUCUGAGAGGAACCAUUAUUUACCACAGCCACAGGGUACAAACAGAGAACUAUUUUUUUUUUUUUUUUAUUUACUCAGGAGAGACAGAGAGAGAGAGAGGGAGAGACAGAGAGAGAGAGGCAGAGACCCAGGCAGAGGGAGAAACAGGCUCCAUGCAGGGAGCUGGAGGUGGGACUGGAUGCCGGGUCUCCAGGAUCGGAUCAUGCCCUGGACUGAAGGUGGCGCUAAACCGCUGAGCCACCGGGGCUGCCCAAACAGACAACUUUCUAAUAUGACUGUGCCUCUCCUCUCUUUAUUAACAUGGAGAAUGGAGAAUGGAUUGUACUACAAAGCCAAAAUGACCUCUCGAAAGAAGCAUUAUUUCAGUCUCCUUACCUGUAAAUAGCUAAUGUGACAUCCCUAGGGCCAAUUACUUUUAACGCUUUAUUAAUAUUUAUGGCUUUAAACCAUGUUCCACCCAAACUACAUGUGCAUAAAACAAUUAAAAUAUUUAAUAUUAAACACAGCAGGAGUCCUUAUUUCUGAACUUUUUUGGCAACGCCUACAGUUAUUUGAGGAUACCUUUACCAAAUUGAAAAUUGUGAUCACAUAGACAUAGAUGCCUGUUGAGACUUAACACAUGAAUUAAAAUCGACUAUUAAAAAAAUUCAUGGAGAAUCGAAUGUUUUUUGGGGGUGUUAUUUGUCUAUGAACAUUCACAUUUUAUAAUACCAUGUAAGGUGGAACGAGUUUUACCUGAAUUCCUUGGAAUCCGCUUUCUGCGGUCUCGGAACGCUGCACCUGAUUGUAGGGC